GCUGCCAAGAUGGCAUAUAACUGCCUGCGGACA
rnacentral:tRNA from 1 species